GUCAACUACCCCGCCCUGAAGGGCGGAGCGUGUGAAGAGCCAGGUUGACCAGGGAAAGCGGUACCCAACCCGCUCCGUUUACAACACGUCGUUAAGACCCACCGGCGAAUGCUUCCUCAGUUCGCCGCUCUGGA
rnacentral:sRNA from 15 species